UGGGGAAUAUUGCACAAUGGGCGCAAGCCUGAUGCAGCCAUGCCGCGUGUGUGAAGAAGGCCUUCGGGUUGUAAAGCACUUUCAGCGGGGAGGAAGGCGUUAAGGUUAAUAACCUUGGCGAUUGACGUUACCCGCAGAAGAAGCACCGGCUAACUCCGUGCCAGCAGCCGCGGUAAUACGGAGGGUGCAAGCGUUAAUCGGAAUUACUGGACGUAAAGCGCACGCAGGCGGUCUGUCAAGUCGGAUGUGAAAUCCCCGGGCUCAACCUGGGAACUGCAUUCGAAACUGGCAGGCUAGAGUCUUGUAGAGGGGGGUAGAAUUCCAGGUGUAGCGGUGAAAUGCGUAGAGAUCUGGAGGAAUACCGGUGGCGAAGGCGGCCCCCUGGACAAAGACUGACGCUCAGGUGCGAAAGCGUGGGGAGCAAACAGG
rnacentral:rRNA from 1 species